UGCCAAGUACUGUCCUAAGAGAUGGGACUAUA
rnacentral:piRNA from 1 species